rnacentral:rRNA from 1 species
AUUGAACGCUGGCGGCAGGCCUAACACAUGCAAGUCGAGCGGAUGAAGGGAGCUUGCUCCUGGAUUCAGCGGCGGACGGGUGAGUAAUGCCUAGGAAUCUGCCUGGUAGUGGGGGAUAACGUCUGGAAACGGGCGCUAAUACUGCAUACGUCCUGAGGGAGAAAGUGGGGGAUCUUCGGACCUUACGCUAUCAGAUGAGCCUAGGUCGGAUUAGCUAGUUGGUGGGGUAAAGGCCUACCAAGGCGACGAUCCGUAACUGGUCUGAGAGGAUGAUCAGUCACACUGGAACUGGGACACGGUCCAGACUCCUACGAGAGGCAGCAGUGGGGAAUAUUGGACAAUGGGCGGAAACCUGAUCCAGCCAUGCCGCGUGUGUGAAGGAGGUCUUCGGAGUGUAAAGCACUUUAAGUUGGUGGGAAGGGCAGUAAGUUAAUACCUUGCUGGUGUGACGUUACCAACAGAAUAAGCACCGGCUAACUUCGUG